rnacentral:lncRNA from 1 species
GAUGAAUUGGCUCCAGGAAACAGCACCACAAAGUUAGCAGCGUGAAGUGGAUGAUGAUGUGGUGUCAUUCUCAGAAAGUCUUCUGCUGUUGGUAUCUCGUGAUGCAUCUUGACAGUGUGAUGGCAUCCCACAGCUCUCUGUGCAUCUUCAGUAAUGGCCCCAAGCUGACACCGCUCUGUGGGAGUCUAAUACUUCUGAACAAAAGUUUUUUUGGAGUGAGAUAGACAAGGUAGAAAUCCCAAGGUGACUGGAAGGAAUGUCUAAUGACUGGAAAGACAUAUUUACUGGCAGACUGUAUGUAAGCUGUGACAGUUGACAGGGCUUGAUUGUAAUAAAUAUAGUUGAUGAAGAGAAGGGUGACAGGUGAGGACAGAGAGAGAGAAAGAGUCAAAAGAUCUGCAUUGGCUGAACCCUAUUAACGGUAAGUUGGUAACAAAGCCCAGAGUCAUAAAAGAAAGCAGUUAUCGCAAACUGAUGUCUAAACAUUGAAAUGUGUGGGACCUGCAGGUUGCUGUCACAAGCUCAGAUUUGUUGACCUUUCUUCUAGCUAUUUUGUCGGUGGUGUUUCUAGUUGUAUCUCACACCAGCAGCAGGCAGCAGCCGACGUUUUUAAAUAUCAUGUAUGAUUAAUCGCGUAACAAAACAAACUCUGAUCAAGGUCAUAAUUAUUGCUUCAAACUAUGACUUCUAUUGCUUUGAUCAGGGAAUUUGGUGUUGGAAAAUGUGCCUCCGAGUGCUGUGAAGGAAGUAAUCUUCGUGGUGGCCUGUUCUGCUGAAAACAAAAUGAAUCCCUGUAAAGCAAAUUAAGCAACAAAAAAUCUGAAAAUAUUUAAAUGCAAAGGCUCACUGCACACACACAUACACACACACACAGAUGGAGUGAUUGACCCUGAAAAUGGAAACAACUCUGGCAUAUUAAAUUGUGACACUUUAUAACUGACUGGUCAGAGUUUCAACAAUAGGAUUUCCAAUGAGCUCUGCACUUUCUUCCCCCAGGCAAAUGUCACACACUGAAACUAAACAGGAUCUUUUUUUUUUUCUUGUUCAUCCGACUUGCUGUUUUCUGUGCCCGAGAUACGAAUCUGUAUUUGAAAAUGCCUUAACCCUUUGGAAGGACAACCCUUCCUCUCUGUGCCCCAGGAGGGAGUUUUGCAGCAGAUGUGGGGGACGUCGUGUUGGCGUUGGCACUGAGGUCAUUCUGCAUGCUCAACGCACUCCCAUUGCAAAAGCAGUGAGCCUUUGA